UGUCAGGGGUUCAGGAGCAGAGGCACAGGAAAGGGAGGAAAUAGAGAGCGAGGGGGAGGAGUCCGAAGGAAAUGUUAGCGAUGACAGCGGUCCGAGGUCUCUGAGUCUUUCCAGCGAAUCGGAAGAUUCACAGAAAGGGGCUCCCUUGGUCAGAGCAAGGGGGGUGCCGAGGGGGACACCCCAGGAAGAAGGGGCCAGAGGGGACUCAGAGAGCAGCAGUUGGAAAUCAGGACCAGCGUCCACACCAGAGUGCAGUAGGGGGGAGGAGUCCCAGGCAUCGGGAUCAGGCGGCGCACUGCCAGUGGGAGGACAUGAGUCAGGAUUGGCCACGCCUCCAUCGGGGAGCGAGGAAACGGUCGAGAGGAAGGUUGAAGGCUGGGCGCGCGCGCCAAGUUCAAAUGUACAGGAGGGCGGCGCAGUUGGCAGCCCGGAUAGGGAGCCAGGUCCCAAAGCCCGCCGAAAAGAGGGGGAGGAGUCAGGGGGUCAGCGUCAGAAGAAUCCAGGAAGGAAGGGACCCCGGGGGGUAGCAGGACCCAGAGGAGAAAGGAGAGACGUAAGAGGUGGAGUAAGGCUAGAAUCUUAAACUGGUGUACAGGGGGCGGAGACUCAGAUGGAGCUUCGCCGAUCUAACCCCUAGACGUAGAGCUGGGGCGCUCCGGCUUGAAAAUGGAAACUGUACUUCAAUAAAGACUUUUGUACAUU